UUACCCAAUCCCGAUUCGGGGAGGUAGUGACAAUAAAUAACAAUACAGGGCCAACGGUCUUGUUAUUGGAAUGAGAACAAUUUAAAUAACUUAACGAGGAUCAAUUAGAGGGCAAGUCUGGUGCCAGCAGCCGCGGUAAUUCCAGCUCUAAUAGCGUAUAUUAAAGUUGUUGCAGUUAAAAAGCUCGUAGUCGGAUGUCGGGCUCGGGCAGGCUGUCGGCUUCGGUCGGACGGCAGGCUCGGGUCUUUCUGCCUGAGGAUCCCGUCACUUGAUUGUGGCGGGGGACGCAGGCCGUUUACUUUGAAAAAAUUAGAGUGUUCAAAGCAGGCCUACGCUUGAAUACAUUAGCAUGGAAUAAUGGAAUAGGACUUUGGUGCUAUUUUGUUGGUUUAUGGGACCGAAGUAAUGAUUAACAGGGACAGUUGGGGCCGUUUAUAUUUCGUUGUCAGAGGUGAAAUUCUUGGAUUUACGAAAGAUAAACUUCUGCGAAAGCAUUCGGCAAGGAUGUUUUCAUUGAUCAAGAGCGAAAGUUAGGGGAUCGAAGACGAUCAGAUACCGUCGUAGUCUUAACCAUAAACUAUGCCGACUAGGGAUCAGUGGAUGUCAAUUUGCGACUCCAUUGGCACCUUGUGAGAAAUCAAAGUUUUUGGGUUCCGGGGGGAAUAUGGUCGCAAGGCUGGAACUUAAAGGAAUUGACGGAAGGGCACCACCAGGAGUGGAGCCUGCGGCUUAAUUUGACUCAACACGGGGAAACUUACCAGGUCCAGACAUAGUAAGGAUUGACAGAUUGAAAGCUCUUUCUUGAUUCUAUGGGUGGUGGUG
rnacentral:rRNA from 1 species